rnacentral:rRNA from 1 species
CCCAAGAGCCAGAGCUUUUUUGCGUUGAGGUAGGGUCAGUGAGCAUCAUUGGCUCGUUUCCCCCAGGAGGCCCCCGCGUGGAGGUCCAGGAGACCCGCGUGCAGACCGACCGGGUC